UACAGAGGGGGCAAGCGUUGUUCGGAAUUACUGGGCGUAAAGGGCGCGUAGGCGGCUUUCUAAGUCGGACGUGAAAUCCCCGGGCUCAACCCGGGAACUGCGUUCGAUACUGGAAGGCUUGAAUCCGGGAGAGGGAUGCGGAAUUCCAGGUGUAGCGGUGAAAUGCGUAGAUAUCUGGAGGAACACCGGUGGCGAAGGCGGCAUCCUGGACCGGAAUUGACGCUGAGGCGCGAAAGCCAGGGGAGCAAACAGG
rnacentral:rRNA from 1 species